UACGUAGGUGGCAAGCGUUGUCCGGAUUUACUGGGCGUAAAGAGCGCGCAGGCGGUCGUUCAAGUCGCGUGUGAAAGCCCCCGGCUCAACUGGGGAGGGUCACGCGAUACUGAUCGACUCGAAGGCAGGAGAGGGAAGUGGAAUUCCCGGUGUAGUGGUGAAAUGCGUAGAUAUCGGGAGGAACACUAGUGGCGAAGGCGACUUCCUGGCCUGUUCUUGACGCUGAGGCGCGAAAGCUAGGGGAGCAAACGGG
rnacentral:rRNA from 1 species